GGACCACGGCUCAAUGGCAGAGCAUCUACUCUGCAUGCGGAAGGUUGCAGGUUCAAUCCCCGCUAUCUCCA